rnacentral:rRNA from 1 species
CGUACACGGUGGAUGCCCUGGCAGUCAGAGGCGAUGAAGGACGUGCUAAUCUGCGAUAAGCGCCGGUAAGGUGAUAUGAACCGUUAUAACCGGCGAUUUCCGAAUGGGGAAACCCAGUGUGACUCGUCACACUAUCAUUAACUGAAUCCAUAGGUUAAUGAGGCGAACCGGGGGAACUGAAACAUCUAAGUACCCCGAGGAAAAGAAAUCAACCGAGAUUCCCCCAGUAGCGGCGAGCGAACGGGGAGGAGCCCAGAGCCUGAAUCAGCAUGUGUGUUAGUGGAAGCGUCUGGAAAGGCGCGCGAUACAGGGUGACAGCCCCGUACACAAAAGCGCAUGUGCUGUGAGCUCGAUGAGUAGGGCGGGACACGUGGUAUCCUGUCUGAAUAUGGGGGGACCAUCCUCCAAGGCUAAAUACUCCUGACUGACCGAUAGUGAACCAGUACCGUGAGGGAAAGGCGAAAAGAACCCCGGCGAGGGGAGUGAAAAAGAACCUGAAACCGUGUACGUACAAGCAGUGGGAGCACCCUUCGGGGUGUGACUGCGUACCUUUUGUAUAAUGGGUCAGCGACUUAUAUUCUGUAGCAAGGUUAACCGUAUAGGGGAGCCGUAGGGAAACCGAGUCUUAACCGGGCGUUAAGUUGCAGGGUAUAGACCCGAAACCCGGUGAUCUAGCCAUGGGCAGGUUGAAGGUUGGGUAACACUAACUGGAGGACCGAACCGACUAAUGUUGAAAAAUUAGCGGAUGACCUGUGGCUGGGGGUGAAAGGCCAAUCAAACCGGGAGAUAGCUGGUUCUCCCCGAAAGCUAUUUAGGUAGCGCCUCGUGAAUUCAUCUCCGGGGGUAGAGCACUGUUUCGGCUAGGGGGCCAUCCCGGCUUACCAACCCGAUGCAAACUGCGAAUACCGGAGAAUGUUAUCACGGGAGACACACGGCGGGUGCUAACGUCCGUCGUGAAGAGGGAAACAACCCAGACCGCCAGCUAAGGUCCCAAAGUCAUAGUUAAGUGGGAAACGAUGUGGGAAGGCCCAGACAGCCAGGAUGUUGGCUUAGAAGCAGCCAUCAUUUAAAGAAAGCGUAAUAGCUCACUGGUCGAGUCGGCCUGCGCGGAAGAUGUAACGGGGCUAAACUAUGCACCGAAGCUGCGGCAGCGACACUAUGUGUUGUUGGGUAGGGGAGCGUUCUGUAAGCCUGUGAAGGUGUGUCGUGAGGCAUGCUGGAGGUAUCAGAAGUGCGAAUGCUGACAUAAGUAACGAUAAAGCGGGUGAAAAGCCCGCUCGCCGGAAGACCAAGGGUUCCUGUCCAACGUUAAUCGGGGCAGGGUGAGUCGACCCCUAAGGCGAGGCCGAAAGGCGUAGUCGAUGGGAAACGGGUUAAUAUUCCCGUACUUGGUGUUACUGCGAAGGGGGGACGGAGAAGGCUAUGUUGGCCGGGCGACGGUUGUCCCGGUUUAAGCGUGUAGGUGUGUGUUCCAGGUAAAUCCGGUUCACUUUAACACUGAGGCGUGAUGACGAGGCACUACGGUGCUGAAGCAACAAAUGCCCUGCUUCCAGGAAAAGCCUCUAAGCAUCAGGUAACAUCAAAUCGUACCCCAAACCGACACAGGUGGUCAGGUAGAGAAUACCAAGGCGCUUGAGAGAACUCGGGUGAAGGAACUAGGCAAAAUGGUGCCGUAACUUCGGGAGAAGGCACGCUGACACGUAGGUGAAGUGAUUUACUCAUGGAGCUGAAGUCAGUCGAAGAUACCAGCUGGCUGCAACUGUUUAUUAAAAACACAGCACUGUGCAAACACGAAAGUGGACGUAUACGGUGUGACGCCUGCCCGGUGCCGGAAGGUUAAUUGAUGGGGUCAGCGCAAGCGAAGCUCCUGAUCGAAGCCCCGGUAAACGGCGGCCGUAACUAUAACGGUCCUAAGGUAGCGAAAUUCCUUGUCGGGUAAGUUCCGACCUGCACGAAUGGCGUAAUGAUGGCCAGGCUGUCUCCACCCGAGACUCAGUGAAAUUGAACUCGCUGUGAAGAUGCAGUGUACCCGCGGCAAGACGGAAAGACCCCGUGAACCUUUACUAUAGCUUGACACUGAACAUUGAGCCUUGAUGUGUAG